rnacentral:Y_RNA from 1 species
GGCUGGUCCGAAGGUGGCGAGUUCUCUCAAGUGAUUGUUCACAGCUACAGUUCAAACUCCUUUGCCCUAUUCUUUUCCCCCUUCCCACUAUUGCACUUGAUCAGCCUUAA